ACUAAUUUUUAUUGAAAACCAAUAACAUGCAAGAUUUUUACAAUCGCAAGUACAAGCUACUCUUCGUGAAAAUACUGCUUUACGUGGUUCUGGUUCUGGUUCUGGGAGUUGUAACCAGCACAAAUAAUGAAACAGCUGAUAAAUUUAUUGAUGUAAAGCUUGUUUCUGACAACAUAACUGAGCAUAACCUUCGGUAUGUCGGAAGUGAUGUGAAUUCAAUUUAUCGACAUAAAAUGUUAUUUUUUUCUAAAUUCCAAAAGUGAUAGAAAAGAUCAAAAUCAAUAAUUAUAAAUUGUUCAGAGGUCCAAUGUCAAUGUAGAUUGUCCUAAUAUAGAAAUGAAUUACCAGCCAAGUGUUAUAUUUCUUACAAUUAGCAUUGUCAAUUUACAAAAUUAUAUACAGUAAAUUAAAAAAUUAAUACGUUCAUACGUAAGUUAAUACGUAAUACCAGCAAGUUAUUAAAUGUUUAAUAUAAUAAAUAAAUUAAAUUUUAAUACAUUAUUAAAUGACUGUGGAAAUUAAACUAUUAAACUUUUCUCUAAUCAUGUUAUACGUAUAUCAUUUUAUAUUAUAAAUUAUUUAUAAAGAAUUUAUAUUAUUUUAAAAUGACGGCCCCAACGAGACUUUCUCAAAAGCCAAAUCGCAUUUUGUACCAAUAUCGGAACUUUUUUAUUACUAUUUUGUUAAUGUUAACUCUUUUUAUUGUGCUCAUUGUUACGUACCAUGUAUUUAAGUUUGGUGAUAUCCAACAUGGUUCCACCUAUCGUGCUUUAGUUUUAAACGAUGUGAGUACGUUACCUAUCCAAGUGUUGGAUCGAGAUACACCUACUGCGGGAGCAACAAAUUCUUCAUGUAGUCAUUUUAACUGCUUCAAUGUGUAUCGUUGUGGCAGCGGUGGCAACCAGUUGCUUGUAUAUGUUUAUCCACCAAAAAAUUAUAUAGACUCUUUGAAUAGGCCACUAACCAGCCAAAUGACUAGAGAAUUUCAUCAAAUUUUACAUACAAUUAUAUCCAGUAAAUUUUAUACACCAAAUCCUCGUGAGGCAUGCAUCUAUAUCCCUUCGAUUGAUACAUUGAAUCAGAACAGACUAAGAGUGCAAGAAGUAUCUCAAGCUUUAAGGACUUUAGAAUUUUGGGACAAGGGAGAAAAUCAUUUAAUUUUUAACAUGAUUCCUGGAAGUGUGCCAGAUUAUAAUCCUAUGUUGGAUGUUCCAAUUGGAGAGGCUAUGAUUGCAGGAGCUGGUAUGUCUUCGCUAACAUACAGAUCAGGCUUCGAUAUAAGUUUACCAGUUUACAGCCCACUAACUGCCAAUCUCAAUCCUGGUUCAUUUUCUACCCGAAAAUGGCUUAUUCUAUCAUCCCAAAUCAAUAUUAAUUCUGCAUUUGAGCAAGACUUGAUGGAGCUAAAAACAACAUUUCCAAAUGAUAUAAUGGUUUUUGGCUCAUGUUUGCAUCAUAAUCCAAUGAAUAAUACUAUUCGUUGUGUCGGAGAAGAUGUAUACAAAUAUCCUGACGUAUUACAAACUGCCACAUUUUGUUUGGUAAUUCGUGGAGCAAGGCUCGGUCAGAGUGUGCUCUUGGAAGCCAUGGCAGCAGGUUGCAUUCCUGUAAUAAUAGCAGAUACCCUGGUAAUGCCGUUUCAUGGAACAAUUGAUUGGAUUAGGGCAGUAAUUUUCAUACGAGAAGUGGAUAUUUUAAUGGUGGUACCAGUUCUGAAGAAAGUAUCAGAGAAACGUGUAAUAGAAUUACGAGCACAUGGUGCCUGGUUGUAUGACAGAUAUUUCAAGUCAAUAGAAAAAAUAACAGAAACCACACUGGAAAUUAUUGCUGAUCGUGUUUUUCCACAUCUAGCAAGAGAUAGUACUUAUUGGAAUAUACCGUCCCAUUCGGGUAACGUUUCGCCUCUUUUCCUACCAAUAACUGCUCCGAAAACUCGUGGAUUUACAGCAGUUAUCUUAACAUAUGACAGAGUAGAGCUUUUAUUUUUACUGAUAAACAAGAUCGUUAAGGUACCAAGUCUUUCAAAACUUCUGGUCGUUUGGAACAACCAGCACAAGGAUCCACCACAUCCUGGAAGAUGGCCAAAAAUUAAUAAACCACUGAAAGUAAUACAAACGAAGGAAAAUAAAUUAUCCAAUCGAUUUUAUCCAUACGAUGAAAUUGAAACAGAAGCAAUUUUAUCAAUUGACGAUGACAUCAUAAUGCUAACUGCUGACGAAGUGGAAUUUGCUUACGAGGUAUGGAGAGAAUUUCCUGAUCGAAUAGUUGGUUUCCCAUCACGUACGCAUAUGUGGGAUAAUCGAACGAGUUGUUGGAAAUAUGAAAGUGAAUGGACUAAUCAUAUCUCUAUGGUAUUAACUGGGGCAGCUUUUUAUCACAAGAAUUCCUAGAAACAUUCAAAAUUUCCUUACAGUCCUCUAACCGCUACUCCUACAUCCAUCAUAAGUAAUUAUUAUUGGAGUUACAUGUAUACUACUGCAAUGCCAGGUGACAUUAAAGAAUGGGUUGAUGAGCAUAUGAAUUGCGAAGACAUAGCCAUGAAUUUCCUUGUCGCUAACUGGACAGGAAAAGCUCCUAUAAAA